rnacentral:rRNA from 1 species
UACAGGGGGUGCAAACGUUGCUCGGAAUCAUUGGGCGUAAAGCGCACGUAGGCGGUUCGUUAUGUCGGAUGUGAAAGCCCUUGGCUUAACCGAGGAAGUGCAUCCGAAACUGGCGAGCUAGAGUACUAAAGAGGAUCGCGGAAUUCCCGGUGUAGAGGUGGAAAAUUCGUAGAGUAUCGGGGAGGAACACCGGUGGCGAAGGCGGCGAUCUGGGUAGAUACUGACGCUGAGGUGCGAAAGCGUGGGGAGCAAACAGG